CCCACUUUACAUAGGGUGACUUGCCCAAGGUACACAGGAAGUCUAUGGCAGAGUGGGAGACUUCAACCUGGAUCUCCUACUGCCUAGGCUAGUGCUCCAACCACUGGGCCAUCCUUCUUGGUUAUUUAUCACAGUGAGUGACUUCGAACUGAUACAGUAAAUAUGGCCAGGUUGGGACAGCAGAUAGGAAAGGUGAGGAGGGGAAAAACAGUAAGUGAUUGAUUGUUCUGCCUCUUGCUUUCCAGGAGUUGAUUCAAGAACAAGUUGAGCUAUUGCAGACCACAGGAGGCGCACAAGGGACACUCCCACUAACCUUUCUAAAGGUGCUGGCUUCCCAGGCAUGCCAUGGAGCUAUUAAGUUUAAUGAUAGCUUGACUAAGGAGGAGAGCUGCCAGCUUAUUGAAGCUUUGUCCUUUUGCCAGCUGCCUUUCCAGUGUGCUCAUGGGAGACCUUCCAUGAUGCCACUUGCAGACAUAGACCACCUGAAGCAGAAAAAGCAGGUACAGUGUGAAGUGCUGGGCAGAGAAAGGCAACAAACCCACAGGGUGGGUUGUCUGAAAAAAUGCGUUUAAUCUUGCUA